GCUCUUAGGAUAUCGUUGGAGUUGAUUCAACAUUGAAGUAAAACAUUAUCCAGGAAAUUAUGAUUGGUCCAUAUUCGUAAUACUUCAAUAUCCAUUUUUUCAGGAGCACCAACAAAACACUUUCUCACGAAGAAUUUCUACAAGAACAGCAAGCUGGCGUAUUACGUCCGAUUAAGGAAAGUGCUGUUUGGCUCAGACGAUACUGUAAUCCAAACUCGAUUUUUACACAUGUUCAGGUGUGUGCCCAAAUCCAAAUUUAGCUGUUUUUCGAUUAAAUAUUGCUGGAACGUUUGCGAUAAAUCUUUCAUAAAAACAAAGAUCGUGACUCAAAAUAUGUUUGCAAAAUUUGUUUGAUCAACUGAAAGCAAUCUAUUCGUAAUAUUGAAUAAUCUGACGGUUUUUUUUGCAAGAAAAGUAAACUUUUGGGACCAUAUCAUCCCAAGAAUCUGGACGAUGAUGAAGAUUACAGUUCCGUAGAAGAUGACGGAUGAGAGCCACGCACGACGCGUAAGUAGAUCGAAGAAGAAGAGAUUUCAAAAGAUUUUGGAAAAGACGUCUUUUGAUGGAAUUUUUUAAAAACAGUAUUGAAUUGUGACUUUUGUAAUGUGUACAUCGAAAUGUACGCACGAGACUCGUUGACGGGUGACGAUGAAAUAAAAACGAGCGAGGGUACCGAA